GUGGGGAAUAUUGGACAAUGGGGGGAACCCUGAUCCAGCCAUGCCGCGUGUGUGAAGAAGGCCUUUUGGUUGUAAAGCACUUUAAGCGAGGAGGAGGCUACCGAGAUUAAUACUCUUGGAUAGUGGACGUUACUCGCAGAAUAAGCACCGACUAACUCUGUGCCAGCAGCCGCGGUAAUACAGAGGGUGCAAGCGUUAAUCGGAUUUACUGGGCGUAAAGCGCGCGUAGGUGGCCAAUUAAGUCAAAUGUGAAAUCCCCGAGCUUAACUUGGGAAUUGCAUUCGAUACUGGUUGGCUAGAGUAUGGGAGAGGAUGGUAGAAUUCCAGGUGUAGCGGUGAAAUGCGUAGAGAUCUGGAGGAAUACCGAUGGCGAAGGCAGCCAUCUGGCCUAAUACUGACACUGAGGUGCGAAAGCAUGGGGAGCAAACAGGAUUAGAAACCCCUGUAGUCC
rnacentral:rRNA from 1 species